UCAAGAAUCAAUGGGUACAUUAACUUCUAAGUCCAAAAAUGGAUGUAACAACUGCUGAUUGCCCCUUUAAGAUACUUUUGGGAAACUGGGCCCAGAUAGUGAGUUAGUGAGGAGUUGCUCAAGGUGGCCAGACUGGAAACAACAUAUAGCUCAAACGCCAGAGCAACAGCCAGUCCCAACGUACUCCAUAGCCCUCCUCCUUGGCCCGGACUAACUCUUUGAUGCUUGGGGAUCUGAAAGGGUCUGGAUAGGCAUAAGCAGUGUAGUAGUGGUGGAGCUUCCACCAUAUUGCCUACUCCUUACGUAUCUGCAAACAUCCAUGGGUCAGAUCCAUGUACUGGUUAGGACCAACGGUGUUUGAGUAGGGAGCAUAUUGUGACCAGCUGCAAGACAAGAGUUGGGCCAACUGAGAGAGGAGUAAGUGCAUGAGCAGAUAAUGACCAGACAAAUACCAUAUACCAAGUCAAUGUGCUGUUACCUAAUCAACAGAACUGACAGGUGUCAGUGUUGUUACCUAAUCAACAGAACUGUCAGGUGUCAGUGCUGUUACCUAAUCAACAGACCUGUCAGGUGUCAGUGCUGUUAUCUAAUCAACAGACCUGUCAGGUGUCAGUGCUGUUACCUAAUCAACAGAACUGUCAGGUGUCAGUGUUGUUACCUAAUCAACAGAACUGACAGGUGUCAGUGUUGUUACCUAUUCAACAGAACUGACAGGUGUCAGUGCUGUUACCUAAUCAACAGACAACAUAAAUGUCAGGUGUCAGUGCUGUUACCUAAGCAACAGAACUGUCAGGUGUCAGUGCUGUUACCUAAUCAACAGACAACAGAACUGUCAGGUGUCAAUGCUGUUACCUAAUCAACAGACAACAGAACUGUCAGGUGUCAAUGCUGUUACCUAAUCAACAGACAACAGAACUGUCAGGUGUCAGUGCUUUUACUUAA